ensembl:lincRNA Gm44205 predicted gene, 44205
AAGAACUGAGUAGAAUGUUCUGGUCAAAGCUAAUUUGGCCUGGACUGCUGGGAUCUGGUCUGGCUUGAUAUAGUUUUAUUUGGUUUGGGCUGGUCUAAUUUGGUCUAGGUCUAGCCUAUAUUCAUUUAAGCUGGCCUGGGCUUGUCUAUUCUGGUCUAACUUCUGGGCUGGUCUAAGUUUUACUGGGCUAGUCUACUCUAGUAUAGUCUGGUUUGGUCUAACCUGGCCCAGUUUGGUCUAUUCUUGUAUUGUCUAAGCUAGUCUAGUCUGGCCUACAGUAGUGUGAUCUACCCUGAUCUAAUCUAGUCUAAACUAUUCUGGUGUAGUUGGUUUGGUCUGGAUUGGUUAAGUUAGUCUGGUCUGGCUUGUGCUGGUAUGUUCUAGCCUGGUCUGGAUUAGUCAAAUCUAACCUGUUCUGUUCUGUUUAGUCUGUUUUGGCUUGGUUUAUUCUUCUUUGGUCUGGUCUGUGCUGAUAGGGUCUAGCUGGGUCUGGUCUGAUAUGAGCAGGUCUUGGCUGGUUAAUUCUGGUGAGUUCUAGCCUUGUCUGGAUUGGUCUAAACGGGGCUUAUAUGCUGUAUUCUGGUGUUUUUCAUCUAAUCUGAGCUGUUCUGUUCUGGUAUGAUCCAGUUGGGGCUGGCACAAGCCGUUCAUUGUUCACUAAUUGUUUUCUCUAAGAGCAGCUCCUGAGCAAGGGACUGGAUUUCAGAAGAACUAGAUGUUCUACUAGCAAAAAGAGUUCCAUUUGACAGGCCUGAAGAAGAGCUGCCAUGAAGAUAUCAAUGACAAUGGAGAUGCCACACCAGGAGAGGAACGAGAACGGCCUGCAUGGGGACUGAAUUCUUUCUUUCUCUGCACAGGACUAAUUUUCCUUCCUUUGUUGUUAUAGAAGGUGAUUUUCUUACAGAGAAGCAUCUGCUCUCACCCUUGUGGCACAGGUGGCCUUCUCCUGCCACCAAGUCCAGAGGAAUGCAUGCUGCCUGGGCUUAGUGGAACGUCCUAGUCCCUUCUAUUCCUGUGGCAGUGGGCUCAGAGGACUCAGGCUGGGGAGUGAGAAACUCCCAGAAUGAAGCCUCCUCACAGGAGUUUCUGCUGUGAGUCACUGAGCCAUGUUAACUGGGUGUCCCACAUCUGCUCUGACAGUCCUCUCAGCUCCCGGGUCAUGGAUGAGCUGACUGAUCAUCAGCAACUGCAGAGCACAUGGAAUGCCACCCUUGCAAGAAAACUCCAGAUCCUGAGUUCAGGCCCCAUGCUUCAUUCCUGACCAAGAGAAUGCUGGGUACUGAGCAGUGACAGGCAUCCAUUCAGAGGCCCCUAGGUGCCUUCCUGAUUUUUUUUUUUCCUGGUGCAUGCCUCUCUGGCUCAGGUGGGAGGAGAGGAGAGACAGACUUGAACCUGUCAGAAGACAAGGACCAUGGUGGAUGUUUGCAGUUCCAGGUUGGACGACUGAGAAGCUGGGGAGACAGAUUCUACAGGGCUGAUACAGCUGAAAAUGAGACUCACAAUUUGAUCACACGGGUGCACAGUGACAACGUCGAUUGAAUUUGCAGCUCUGACAGAUGUGUUUUAUAAAGGCCGGGGCACUGAUCAGAGAGGAGCAGGAUGCCAGGGCAUGUUAUUGAACUUGGAUGAGUCUGAAAAACAGCUGCUUCUUGCUGUCUGGAGUGAUAAGUCUCUCCUUUCCUGAGAAGCCCGUGAGGAGUUCACAGGAGCAACUUCCCCAGGAGAACAUCAUCGAGUCUCGUCUGCUGAGCUGCCAGCAGAAGCCUCUUCCUGUGCCCUAGGAUACUUGUCUCAGAGGAGAUCAUUAUGGUACCAUGGGAAUUUUCCUAUGACCCAUUGAUAGAGCAAGAAAAGACACAACCCC